rnacentral:misc_RNA from 1 species
AUGACAAGGAAUAUAAACAAGGAGAAGGCAACGAUGAUGAUAAAAUUGGGAACUGGGAGGACUCUGCCACAGAUCAGGCUAGGAUGGAAGAAGAAGUUGAUUCAGAACUCGAAGCUCAACUUUCUAAUAAACCUGAAACAGAAGCAUCAUUGCUGAAAGAGGAUACAGCAGGAGAGAACGACGAACCCUUGGCUAAAUCUGAAACUGGAGAAAAUGCUGGCACUAAAGAAUCAUCUGAAGAAGUCCUG